rnacentral:rRNA from 1 species
AGGGCGCAUGGUGGAUGCCUUGGCAACAGGAGCCGAAGAAGGACGUGGGAAUCUGCGAUAAGCCUGGUGGAGUCGAUAACCGGACGUUGAGACCAGGAUUUCCGAAUGGGGGAACCCCGCACGACUUUCAAGAUCGUGUGACCGCCUGCUGAACACAUAGGCAGGUUGGAGGGAACGCAGGGAAGUGAAACAUCUCAGUACCUGCAGGAAGAGAAAACAAAAGUGAUUCCGUGAGUAGUGGCGAGCGAAAGCGGAGGAGGCUAAACCGUGUGUGUGUUCAAGCCGGCAGGUGUUGCAUGUGCGGGGUUGUGGGGGCCUGUGUGAUCCUGCUGCCGUGGGAUCGGCUUGCAUGUGGUGUGAAGUUGAAUCGUCUGGGAAGGCGGACCGUAGUGGGUGAGAGUCCCGUAGUCGAAAUGUGUUCCGCCGCUGUUGGAGGGUCGCCCGAGUAGCACGGGGCCCGAGGAAUCCCGUGUGAAUCUGCCAGGACCACCUGGUAAGCCUGAAUACUACCUGUUGACCGAUAGCGGAUCAGUACCGUGAGGGAAUGGUGAAAAGUACCCCGGGAGGGGAGUGAAAUAGUACCUGAAACCAUGUGCCUACAAACCGUCGGAGCCUCCUUGUUGGGGUGACGGCGUGCCUUUUGAAGAAUGAGCCUGCGAGUCAGCGGCAUGUCGCGAGGUUAACCCGUGUGGGGAAGCCGUAGCGAAAGCGAGUCUGAAUAGGGCGAUUCAGUCGCGUGUCCUAGACCCGAAGCGGAGUGAUCUACCCAUGGCCAGGUUGAAGCGCGUGUAAGAGCGCGUGGAGGACCGAACCCACUUCAGUUGAAAAUGGAGGGGAUGAGCCGUGGGUAGGGGUGAAAGGCCAAUCAAACUCCGUGAUAGCUGGUUCUCCCCGAAAUGCAUUUAGGUGCAGCGUCACGUGUUUCUUCCCGGAGGUAGAGCUACUGGAUGGCUGAUGGGCCCCAACGGGUUACUGACGUCAACCAAACUCCGAAUGCCGGGAAGUGAGAGCGUGGCAGUGAGACUGUGGGGGAUAAGCUUCAUAGUCGAGAGGGAAACAGCCCAGACCACCGGUUAAGGCCCCUAAGCGUGUGCUAAGUGGGAAAGGAUGUGGAGUUGCUGAGACAACCAGGAGGUUGGCUUAGAAGCAGCCAUCCUUUAAAGAAAGCGUAAUAGCUCACUGGUCAAGCGUCUUUGGGCCGACAAUACAACGGGGCUCAAGCAUAGGACCGAAGCCGUAGAAUGCACCGACCUGCGGGUUGGUGUUUUGGUAGAGGAGCGUUCUCUCAGCCGUGAAGCCAGAUCGAAAGGACUGGUGGAGUGGAGAGAAGUGACCCUGCCGGCAUAAGUAGCGAGAAGGGAAGUGAGAAUCUUCCCCGCCGUAAGCCUAAGGUUUCCUGAGGAAGGUUCGUCCGCUCAGGGUUAGUCGGGACCUAAGCCGAGGCCGAAAGGCGUAGGUGAUGGAAAGCAGGUUAAUAUUCCUGCACCACCAAGGAUGGCGUUGAAGCAAGCGGGGACGGAGAAGGGUAGCCCAGCACGGCGCAUGGUCGUCCGUGUUCAAGCCCGUAGGCUGAGCUGUUAGGACCCGAUAGGGACAAACGACGGUUCGCUAGGCCGAGAGGUGAUGAGGUCCGGCCCUAGGCCGAGAAACUGAGUGAUCCCAAGCUUCCAAGAAAAGCCGCGUGCAGAGCCUCUUUGGUGAUCGUACUGCAAACCGACUCAGGUGGGCGGGAAGAAUAUUCCAAGGCGCGUGAGAGAACCCCGGUUAAGGAACUCGGCAAAUUGACACCGUAACUUCGGAAGAAGGUGUGCCUUUAGUAGGUGAAGUCGUACAGAUGGAGCCCAAUGAGGCCGCAGAGAAUCGGUGGCUGCGACUGUUUAAUAAAAACACAGCACUCUGCAAAGACGAAAGUCGACGUAUAGGGUGUGACGCCUGCCCGGUGCUGGAAGAUUAAAUGAUGGGGUGCAAGCUCUUGAUUGAAGUCCCAGUAAACGGCGGCCGUAACUAUAACGGUCCUAAGGUAGCGAAAUUCCUUGUCGGGUAAGUUCCGACCUGCACGAAUGGAGUAACGACUUCCCCGCUGUCUCAACCAUGAACUCGGCGAAAUUGCAUUACGAGUAAAGAUGCUCGUUACGCGCAGAAGGACGGAAAGACCCCGAGACCUUUACUAUAGUUUGGUAUUGGUGUUCGGUGUGGCUUGUGUAGGAUAGGUGGGAGACUGUGAAGCCGGCACGCCAGUGCUGGUGGAGUCAUCGUUGAAAUACCACUCUGGUCACUCUGGACAUCUAACUUCGGCCCGUGAUCCGGGUCAGGGACAGUGCCUGAUGGGUAGUUUAACUGGGGCGGUUGCCUCCCAAAAUGUAACGGAGGCGCCCAAAGGUCCCCUCAGCCUGGUUGGCAAUCAGGUGUUGAGUGCAAGUGCACAAGGGAGCUUGACUGUGAGAGUGGCAGCUCGAGCAGGGACGAAAGUCGGGACUAGUGAUCCGGCACUGGCUUGUGGAAGCGGUGUCGCUCAACGGAUAAAAGGUACCUCGGGGAUAACAGGCUGAUCUUGCCCAAGAGUCCAUAUCGACGGCAUGGUUUGGCACCUCGAUGUCGGCUCGUCGCAUCCUGGGGCUGGAGUAGGUCCCAAGGGUUGGGCUGUUCGCCCAUUAAAGCGGUACGCGAGCUGGGUUCAGAACGUCGUGAGACAGUUCGGUCCCUAUCCGCUGCGCGCGUUGGAAAUUUGAGAAGGUCUGUCCUUAGUACGAGAGGACCGGGACGGACGAACCUCUGGUAUGUCAGUUGUACCGCCAGGUGCAUGGCUGAUUAGCUACGUUCGGGAUGGAUAACCGCUGAAAGCAUCUAAGCGGGAAGCCCACCUUAAGAUUAGAUUUCCCUAAAGAGCCGUUGU